rnacentral:tRNA from 2 species
GCUGGGGUGGCGAAAUAGGUAGACGCACAGGACUUAAAAUCCUGUGAGACCGAAAGGUCUCAUGCGGGUUCGAGUCCCGCCCUCAGCACCA